rnacentral:rRNA from 1 species
AUUGAACGCUGGCGGCAGGCCUAACACAUGCAAGUCGAGCGGAUGACGGGAGCUUGCUCCUUGAUUCAGCGGCGGACGGGUGAGUAAUGCCUAGGAAUCUGCCUGGUAGUGGGGGACAACGUUUCGAAAGGAACGCUAAUACCGCAUACGUCCUACGGGAGAAAGCAGGGGACCUUCGGGCCUUGCGCUAUCAGAUGAGCCUAGGUCGGAUUAGCUAGUUGGUGGGGUAAUGGCUCACCAAGGCGACGAUCCGUAACUGGUCUGAGAGGAUGAUUAGUCACACUGGAACUGAGACACGGUCCAGACUCCUACGGGAGGCAGCAGUGGGGAAUAUUUGACAAUGGGCGAAAGCCUGAUCCAGGCAUGCCGCGUGUGUGAAGAAGGUCUUCGGAUUGUAAAGCACUUUAAGUUGGGAGGAAGGGCAGUAAGUUAAUACCUUGCUGUUUUGACGUUACCGGCAGAAUAAGCACCGGCUAACUCUGUGCCAGCCGCCGCGGUAA